rnacentral:rRNA from 1 species
GACGAACGCUGGCGGCGUGCCUAAUACAUGCAAGUAGAACGCUGAAGGAGGAGCUUGCUCUUCUGGAUGAGUUGCGAACGGGUGAGUAACGCGUAGGUAACCUGCCUGGUAGCGGGGGAUAACUAUUGGAAACGAUAGCUAAUACCGCAUAAUAUUGACUAUUGCAUGAUAGUCAAUUGAAAGGUGCAAAUGCACCACUACCAGAUGGACCUGCGUUGUAUUAGCUAGUUGGUGGGGUAACGGCUCACCAAGGCGACGAUACAUAGCCGACCUGAGAGGGUGAUCGGCCACACUGGGACUGAGACACGGCCCAGACUCCUACGGGAGGCAGCAGUAGGGAAUCUUCGGCAAUGGACGGAAGUCUGACCGAGCAACGCCGCGUGAGUGAAGAAGGUUUUCGGAUCGUAAAGCUCUGUUGUAAGAGAAGAACGAGUGUGAG